UUUAAUUGUUAUAAUUGGCCUGCCCAUCAAAUAAUGGUUAUUUAUCAUAAAUAUAUAUGAUAUUAGGGACUUGCAUUUGAACAACUUCUCUGCCAUAAAAUUCAGAAACCACAAUGUCCUGAACAAACUGAUAGAGGCUCCAUGACACCCAUUGGAAGCUGCCUGGUUCACAGGAAUGCUUCCUUCUUCUCCUGAGCGAUCUUAAGUAACAAAGCUGCACACAACAGUGCUUCCCCAUCAUCAUGGCCUGGAAAGGCAGCUCAGAGAGAGUGUUCUCAGACAGCAGGUAGGACAAACCCUUCAUUAAGAAAGGCUGCAUACACGGUGUUGGUAGCUGUUGGGCUAAUAGGAGACCCUUGAAACUUGGCCCUGUGUCAGCCUCCGCAGAGGCAGUGGAGGCAAAUGUGCAGUGAAGGGGUUUAGCUGAGGCAAGGAGAGUGGCCAGCGUCAACUGUCACACUGGCCACCUCCUGCAGAACAACCUAAUAGCGCAUAGCAAGAAAUGAAAGUAAGGCACUGUCCUUGACAUUAAGGAGCCUGAGUUACAACUGAAGGACUAAUAACCCCAGUGUUGGAAGAAUACUGUAAAAAGUUCAAUGCUUUUCAAAUAGGGUUCAAUUGCAUGGCCAAACUUAUGUGAUAAAGAAGUAUAGUGAAGGAGGGCUUAGAGGGCUAAAGAAAUCAAGACAGGCCCCACAGUGGUUUAACAGAUUUGUGUAAGGCCAUUGAAGAUGUAACAGAAACGAGAGGUUGGGGGAUUUGGGUCUGGGGACUCUCAGUUUAGGGCUGUUUUGGGGACACUGGGAGAUAAACAAGUCUUUCUCUGUAAUCUCAGGAUGAAGGUAAGAUACUGAAGAAUUCCAAGAAGACUGGAGGGGGCAGUGCUGGAGGAGAAGAAAGCAACAUAGGGCCUGGUGCAAGCCCAUGCAGGAUGGGGCCCCUUCCCAGAAGUCCUGAGCUAGAGCCCCGGAAUCCUGCCCUGGAAUCUCUACUGGAGCUACCCUCUGGCCCUUCUUUAAGACGUUCAAAUGUCGGAGCAGAAGAGGAGAAGGAAGAAAGGGAAAAAGUUGGGUGAAUGCCUUUUCUCCUUGUUUGCCUGAGUCCCCACUCCCUGGAGCUAAAUUUGCAGCCCAGGCCAAUGUGAUUUAUUCAGAGCUACUGCUACUUGUCAGUGGAUUGCUGCCCAAGCUUGCUUGCAGCCCAUCUGCUGAAUUCCUGUACAUGUGUGAACAUGUGUGGAAAAUUAAAGGCCUGGCUGUGGCCUGGAGCUGCCUUGCCCCUCAGCUACUCCAACCUCCAUCCACCAGGCCUGAUGCCAGUGUCCAUUGAAGCCGUCCUCACCACAUGGUCAAGAAAUGGGGAGCCUCAGUGAUAAAGCACUCAGGACCCAGUUCCUGAGUCCAUCAGUUGUUUUUCAUCAGGAGAUUAACCAAGAAGAGUUUACAUAGUACUCCAUACCACUAUAGAGCCCCACGCUACUCAGUCUCUGCUCUCAUCAAGGAAGUGUUGCCAUUUUGGUUUCUAUAUCAGGGCAGAGACCCAGGACAAGAAGCAGAGAAGGGAGCAAGAAGUGAGGAGUGCUGCAAAAAAGAGAACAAUAUGCUUUGCUUUUGUGAUUAAUUUCAACUCAGGAGGAAGCACAAUACUUCCAACUGAAGUCUGGAGCUAGAAACAGGAAAUAUCCAGGCCUGACUCAACUGUCUCUCCAGAAGCUGUUCUUUAAUUGCAAGAUGUCAAUCUCCCUCUCCCCCUCACCCCAGAUUUCAUUGUUUGUUUUGUUUUCAGGCAUUUAGUUGUUGUUUUCUCUUUUCCUUCACACACUGAGAAAUAUCUGUAGAUGAGCCUGCAGGGCAAUCUGGCCCUACUGUAAUAACAGAAGUCACAACUCUUAACUCUCUCCUCACUGUUUCCACUAAAUCUAAAGCCAACAUGCAAUGGAAGUUUCUUCAUGGUAAUAAUAUAAUAAUGAUAAAUGUAAUGGUUUAUUCAUUCAGCAAAUAUGUAUUGAACACCUACUAUGUGUCAGGCAUGGUUUUAAGUUCUUUGUAUGUGCUAUUUCAGUUAAUUCUUACAGCAACUCUACAAGAUAGAUAAUAGUAUUACCUCCAUUUUACAGAUCAGGAAACUGAGGUGUAGAGAGGUUAAACAACUUGCCCAAGGCAUUGGAGGUGGUAAAUGGCAGAGCCUGGGCUCCUGACCACUAUGCUGGGUUACCCCAAUGAUAAAUGGUAGGGAACCCAUUAUCCUGCCUCAGAAAGUACAGAUUUACCAUCUCCCAUCACUCACAUUCCAAUCCUAGUAAAACAGACAAUAAGCAAGAGCAGGAUUGAAAUCCCAGCUACCCACAGGAAACGUCUGUCACUUGCUUUGCUGAGUGUUUCAGGAGGAACAUUCAUGUGUAGACAGAGUUGUGUGUGUUUGUGUGUGAGUCCAUGGGUGUAAGCAUGCAUAUGCAUGCAUGAGAGGCUACAUAUGCCCCCUUAUGCAAUGCUCUCCUUUGAGCCUGGAUAAAGAGUUCCCAUAUCAAAUGAAGUUGAAAACAACACUCUAACCUUCCCUCUUUGCACAGAUCCCCACUGCUGCUUCCACAAACUGGGAUUAAAAAAAAAAGCACUAACACACCCUUCUGACAAGGCUGGGGACCCUCAUCCCGGAUUUGAGCUGCCUCUCAAUUGGGAACCUUCCACUUGGCAGAGCUCCAGUUGUAGCAAGAACAAUUACCAAGUACCUGAUCACCACAGGGAGUCCAAAGACAAAUACAUACAAAUAAAGACAUUUUGGGAGAAGGAGUGAGAGUCUGUGGAGCUGCCAUGUGGGCCCCCAAGUUCCCAGUUUAGAACCUUUUGCCCUCCAGGCUGGCACUUCCUCUUCCUUUCUCUAACCCUCUGGCCUUACAGAAAUAAAACUUUCAUUCCACAACAUAUUACUUUGACCCUUCCUUCACAACAAAGUGAAAAACACCUGAUAAUGGCUUAAGCCUGUCCUAGGGUUUUUGCAUUUUAAUGGAAAUCAAGCCUAUUGCUGAGAGGACCAACCUGGAAUGGUAAAACUAGAGGCAUCAGCCAGCAGGUAGAAGAGGAUUUGGGCAUGGGAGAGGAGGAGAAACCAUGGGGUUUUCUACAGUUCUAGAACUAGCUAACACUUCACCUAAGAUUGCAUGAGGAUCCUAGUAAAAACAAAACUGUAUUAACUGUAUUUUACCCAGAAAAGAGAAAGAACAUUAAAAUGGUCCUAAGAGCAAGACCAUUCAGGAAAAGAGAGACAGCAUUAGAUGAUCACUGAGGUCCCUAAUAGUUCUAGCACUCAGAUUGAACUUUGGUUCAUCUCUUGAUGACUCUGGUGCCUUUAGUGUGAAUGCUAAAGAAAGGCUUGGCUUCCCCAAUCCAAAUGUAUUCAAGAUGGUGCACAGUUGCUGUAUUAGUUAUGUAACUCCUGAUUCUGAGUUGAUUGUAUUAAUUGAAAGGCAUUUUGUGCCUAGCCAGUAGUAUUGUGUGGUCAUUGGUCCUCUGACACUCUGCACUGUGGGCUUGGAAACAGAAAAGUUAGAGUAUCUGGUUCAACAAGGAGCCCAGGAAAACUUCAGUCUUGGCAUGUCAUUUAGCGUGAAAUCAUUUCAACCAGAAUGGUGCUAGCCCUCACUGAGCUCCUGAUGGAUGCCAAUCAAGUCUAUUUAGCUUGGCUACCUCAGAUAAGGAAAUUCCAGAAGCUUUCCAGUUCCUUUUAGAUUUAUUGUAAAUGACAUCAUGCACCCAGAUGCAGAAUUCUUGUUGAGUCCAACAUUAGGAGAAUGGAUAUGAUGGAAUUUUAAGAUUGGCUAAAAGCUUAAGCAAUCAACUUGGGGAAGGGGAAAUAUUAGAGGGAGAUAAAACUCAUUUUUCUCAUUUGCCCAUUCAAUGACAAACAACUGACCAGCCACAAAACUUGCAGCAAUGGGAUCAAAUGUUUAGACUUGGAAUUCGUCUUUUUCAUUUGGAGAGUAAUAAGUAAGAGAUCCCCAUUGUGUCAAAUGGAGUAACUUUUCAUUUUCCUGUAUUCAAAAUGGCUUGGAAGUGAUGCAGUUCACAAACAGAACAAAAUCUUUAAAUAACUCUGUACAGAUGUUCUUCGGCUCUCCCCUUUGAAACUUGUUAAAUUAUUUUUGCUGCCUUUGAGUUAUAAGAUGCUAACCUCAGAGCUGCAUUUUCGGCUUAGAAUUUCAUUCCAUUAUGUCCCUUUACCUUUUGGAUAGCAUACCAUUGAAUGAAGGCAAGGAGACAAACGGCAAGAAAACCUGCCUUAUCUUUCUGACACUGAUGUGGAGUUCAUCACUAAGCACUUAGCAAACUUCCCAGUGCUUAGUUCAAAUAAGCACAGCAGCCUGGUCUAAGUCCAUAGUGUCAUCCCAUUGAAGUUUCUGCCAUGUCCAACCAGAAAGAAGUCCAUUCCAGGGCUGGCUGGGGGCUGCAGCAUAUUUCACAGCUGUUUCAGAAACAAGGUGAGAUUAUUCUAGUUUUGUGAAAAUAUCAAAUGAGAAAGUCCUGGAAGCCAAGCUGAAAGGGAACCUGCCAUUGCAAACUACGGCUACACAGUGAUUCUCCCACCCCUACCUCUCUCUUUGUCAAAUAUCUUAACUUGCCUAUGAAGAAAUCCAUCAUGGCACCAGUUUUCUAGGCAAAUAAUGAGAAUGAGUAAGUUUUUCCUAAUCAAGUUUCUAAGCACUGAAGAACAAAGGGAUAGAAUAGAUAAGAAAAGCAAAGGAUUAAAAAUCUAGAUCUGCUCUCUCCAAUAUGGCAGCCCCUAGCCAUAUGUGGUUAUAGAGCACUUGAAAUGUAGCAAGUGUGAAUAAGGCACUGAAUUUUUAAUUUCAUUUGAUUUUAAUUAAUUUGAAUAUGGAUACUGCAUUCAGUUAUUGGAAAACUUUUAAGUACAUUUGGAAGAACCUGGAUUUGUGAAUCUACUUUUUCAAAUUUUAUAGAAUGAUAUGAAAUCUAAAUACAGAUCAAGUAUUUCUGAUGAAAAUUUACCAUCUGAAUUCAGAUGUGCUAUAAAUGUAAAUAUACACUGGAAUUUGAAGACUUAGUAUAAAAAAGAACGUAAGCUAUCUCAUUAAUAAUUUAUAUUGAUUUGAUUUUUAUGAUUAUACUUUAUGUUGAUUUUAUAUACCAAAAUGAUAAUAUUUUGAAAAGAGUGGGCUAAAUAAAAUUCAUUAUUAAAAUUAAUUUCACCAAUUUCUCUUGCAUUUUUU
rnacentral:lncRNA from 1 species